GCACUUUUUAAUGGAGCGCUAAUAUAGGGUUUUUAGUACCAGCGCUCCUUGUAGGAGCGCUGGUAUAUGGUGGUUAGUACCAGCGCUUUGUUUAGGAGCGCUGGUAUAGUGUCAAUAGCCCUCUAUCCCACUUUUUCCCUUCCCUCCUUUUUUUUUUUUUUUUUUACCUCCCUCCAUUUUUUUCCCUCCGUUGAUUUUGGGCCCUAAACUACGCCAUUUUUGGGGGCCAAUUAACAUUGAAUUCCACUUACCUAUUUCAUUUUGCAAUAGCGCUAACACCUUCAGCCUCUCUCUCUCCUUCCAUCAUAGCUCUGUCGCCCUUCCAUCACUAGUCUCGCCCUUCCAUCACCGAUCAUCACAGCUCUCUCUCCUUUCAUCACCAGUCAGCGUUCCAAAAUUGGUGGCUUAGUUUAGAAAGACAAAGUCAUUGCUACUGCACACACAGAGAGAGAAAGAGUUGUCCUUGGGGGUUUCCAAAACCUCGUCUACACUAACAAAUAGGACGAGAAUUUUUUUAGCUUUGUUUGUGCAGAGUUGGCAGACGACUCUUCGCGAAAGCCCUAGCUCCUUGCCCCCGACCACUGGACAUCGCGAAGCCUUGGAUAGCUCCUUACCUCCUUCUUACAGCUUACUGAAGUCUAAACAAGUGUGACCACUAUAAUUCAGCCUUUGUCCCAAUUUCCUUCGCAUUAGCAAUCAAGAAGGGGAUAACUCGCAUUUGAUUGGCUAAUAUUCUUUGAAGGAAGGAUAAAUAAUAAGCUGACAAUGAAACGAACGGUUAGUGAAGUGGAAAAAGUAAGUGAACAAAAUACCGAAGUUUCAACUUCAAAAUCAUCCCAACCACCACCGAAGAAGAGACGGGGCCCAACAUGAUGCAAGAAUGUCGUAAACACGACAACCUUAUUACCAUUAAGGGUUAAUAAGUUUGGAUAACCGAUCGGCCUUGGAAGUGGUACGUAUACUAAUUAUUUGGGAACACUUGCCCGGAGUGCUAAAUUAACUCCUUUGUGCUACAAAACUUGGUGGGAGAUGCCUAAAUGGCUGAAGGAGGAUAUGUGGAACAUUGUAAAGGGGAAGUAUGAUAUGGGAAUCAUGUCAAAACAUUGGACAUUAUCCUCCAUCGGAAAAAAAUGGAGGGGUACAAGUGUGAAUUAAAAAGUGAAUAUUACUCGGUUAGGGAUACAGAUGUAGAAAGAUUGGCAAACCCACCACUUGUGUUGAAAAGGAGCAUUGGGAAUUUUUGGUUAGGCAUCGGGGUACGCCUAUGGCGAAGAAGGUCAGCGAAAAAAAUAAAGAACGUCGUGGGAAGCAAACAAUGAUGCAUACUACAGGGACAAAAAGCUUUGCAUGUGUUUCUGCCGAGAUUGAGGAAACGAAGGUAUUCAGCUUUCUCGUGCAGAUUUAUUCAUUCGUACACAUAUAAAUAAGGAUGGCAAAGCUACUGACGCUGCUGCUUCGGAGAUGAUUGUAAGUUUUCAUGCUUCCAUUUUGCAAAAAGGGGGUCACAUGCCUUGAAGUGACCAAUUUUUAAACUCUUUGCGGUGUAUUAGGGGGUCACAUGCCUUGAAGUGACCAAUUUUUAAAUCAUCAGCCCGUGUGGAGGCAUUUUAAUUUCAUUGUUUAUCAUCGGCCCGUGUGGAGGUAAUUUACUUUCUUAUAUUUGUUGAAAAGCAUGGGAGUAUGGGAUCAUUGUAUGUGGAGGCUUUUUGUUGAUUGAUUUGUGUUGUGGAGGAGAAGUAUUUGUUAUUAAUCUUAAAGGGAUAAUGAGAAUUAGUUUCUCUUGAAGAGAAAAAUAAGACAAAAUAAUCCCUUGUAAUGGAAACUAGCUGUUUGUUAGGUUUAAAUUUCUGGGUUUACCUUGUAAUGGAAAUUUUAUAUUGAUCAUUUUGUGAGCCUUCGUUUGUAAUGAUGCUUUGACUUUCUUCAUUGACCUCAAUUUUUUUUCCUUCUCUCUUCUGAAAAGAAUUUGGAUUAGUGUUUUUUACAUGGUUAUUAGCUCUGUUUGAGUGCUUGAAGUUCAUUCCAUCUCAUCUGCUUGGUGUUGCUAGGAUUCCUAGCUGAUUAGCUUUUGGUGUAAUUCAUUACAUCACCACUGGUUGAAAUUCUCUCCUAUAGGUUUAUCAAUGGCAGGUCAAAAUCUCUAAGCUCUAUGUAACACUGCAUCUUAGACAAAUAAUUGCAGCAACAAAGUUCAGCUGAGUGCCAAUGCAAUAGCAUUGUAGACUUUUUGUAAAACUUUCCCCACAAUGUGGUGUCAUCCAUCAUCGAAUUCUUAAUAAAAACAGGUCAAUUCGAAAUAUGGAAAAGGAAAACAAGAAAAAAGAAAAAAAAAAUUCCCCCAUUGGCUAGUAUGAUAUUUAAGUAUUAACAAAAGAUUUCAUUUCAUUCAGAAUUCUUUUCACAUAACACCUAAAUCACAAUGACAUGAUUUGAAUUCAGUACAUGUCCAAAAUGACCAUUACAUUCCAAGGACUUUUGGUAACAUCAUAGUGUGAUAGUCUCUACGCAAAAGUACUGUGCAAAAAAUUUCGUUCAUUUCACACUGUAAUCUUUACCAGUGAACUUAUUUAACCUCAUUGACAAAAAGUCGGUCAAGUAACGUGCUAUUUCCAAUUUCUGAUAUGAGGCAGCAUGCUUAAGAUUGAUUCUCAUGCCUCAUUGCUCUUAAAAUGGGAUUUUCAUCAUCUAAUAAGUUGUCUUCAUCAUCAAGUUCAUCCAGAUCAUUCAUUAUUGACUGGUUGGUUUUCUUACGAGAUUGUCUCCGAUGCUUCUUAGUCUCUAACCUUGGUUCAGCUUGCAUGACGCCCAUAUCUCCCGCCUUUUACCAGCAAAGAGAGUUCAGUUCAAGUUUAAAACCAAGGAAAUGGAGUACACAAUAAAGGGAAAUGAAUAAAUACAGGCCUUUACUCAGGGAGAUAGACCAAAAUUGGAGAUUGAUUGAAUAACAAGGCAUGGGCUUGUGUGACCAUGUGAAUAGGAAACCGAAAAAAUAAAAAUAUAAUAUAAUAUAAUAAAUUCUAAUUCUAACAUUUAAGAAGGGCUCGAAUACUCAACCUCCCCUUUGAGGGGAGAGAUUAUACCCAUUGGUGGAGGGAUUUAUUUGAUAGACUUAACCUUUAACAUUAUCUGCAAAAAUAACCAACCUCAUACUCAAACCUAGAUUUUCUCAUGCUUGAGAGCAAAACGUUUUACCAUUGCAUUGGCCCUAGUAACAUGGGGAACUAGAAACUAAACAUAGAACAACGGAAAAAGAAAAUAAAGAUGCUAGAAUUGUGACAACCUUUUAAGUACGGCAAAGGACUGAAAUAUAAGAAGAGACAUGAAAAUAUAGUAGACAAAGAUUUACAACUUCUUUGGCAUAACUAGAUCAGAAUGAUAAAAACAAAGUUGUGAAAAACUUCUGUAAGCAAAUAUAUUAUCUGGAAAUGAUAAGCUACUUUUAGAAUUUAGUUACAAUAUGUACAACUAAAUUCUGGUAUGCUGAAUGUGGUUUCAAAUGAUACGGAAAAUUUAGUUAGGAAACCAGCAAAAUUUUCCAUGAGAAAGAAGUAACAUGAUUUUGUUCAUUGUUAUUAAAAUCACAACCCAAUCCAAUGUUUAUGUUUAUGUCACCUAUGAUACUCGUGGCUGCAACUGUUUUUCGUUUUCCUUUUCUUUUAUGGGGUGUUUAUUGUGCUAAUUAGUAUUUAAGCAUAUUUUCUUUUCUCAUUUAAACUUAGUGUUUAAAUUUAAUUGAGAAUUUGGCUAUGGAAAUUCUCUUUCAUGUCUCAAUUUCAUAAAAAUGAUAGGAACUUGGACUCUUUCUGACUAUUCAUGAUGUUAACAGUUGGACAAGUAGUUAAAUUUUUGUUGCCCACACUACAACAGUUCUGGCUUUUACCAGCGCUCAAAAGCACUGGUAAAAGUCUUAAAAAGCGCUGGUAAGCGCUUUUGAAAAAGUCUUGCUCUUUUCAAAAGCACUGGUUUUUAAAAUUGUUCCAAGGAGUCCUAAGUAUAUCUAAAACCAUCCCAAAUCCUUACUUAAGUCAAUUUGCAUCAAAUUAAAACUUAAAACAUUUACCGAUCCAACAUGCUUAAAAAGAGCAAGCACUGCAACCAAACCAAACUUGCAUGAACUGUAACAAAAUUAAUUCACGCCUACAUACAGAUAAUUGAUUAAACAAAUACUAAGCAUCUAAGAUUCAAUUUAUUAGUCCAUUAAAGCCCUAGAGACUAUCUACAGAUGCACAGAACACAGGCAACGGGAGAGAGAAAGGAAAGAACUUGCCUUUGCGGUUUUGGAAUCAAAACCUUGUCGCCGUCUUCCUAGGUUUUUUUUUCCGGCGAUCAUGACUGCCGUCAAGCCUCCUACUGCUCAACCUUCCCUUCUCCUAUGACUAAUCCUAUAUCCACAGUUGAAACCCUCACCAAAGAUGGUAUGUUAUUAUCUCACAAUUUAUGCUCUGUUCCUCUCUAUCUCUAUGGUACGUGAAAAAGGUUUACAUAUAUAUAUUUUUUAAAACCUUAAGUCAACAUAAUGAUAUAUUUAUAGGUUUAGAAAAACUAAAACCCUAAUUCUAAUUUUAAUCCGAGAAAGAAAAACAACCAUAAAAGUUAUAAUGUAAGUCGGCUAAAAACGUGAGAAUAUAUGUAACCCUAAAAUUAUAACCUAUAUUAAAUUAUGAUUAAUACCUCAAGUUUAAUUAUUAAUAAAUACCAAUAAUUAAAACUAACUCUAUAUACAUAUAUACCCAUAUAUAUACAUGUAUAUACUUCCAUGGGUAAAACGGUACCCAUUUACACUAUCCAAAUAGUCCGUUAAUCAUAUCCAAGCCUAAGUUCGAUUAAAAAUAAAAUAAAAUAAAAACAAUACAUUUAAUUUAACAUUCAAAUGCCACUUCAUCACGCACACUUAUAAUUAAAUAGUUAAUUUAUUUAAACAACAAAACAGGAAGUCACGUAACAAAAGUCAUGAAAACACCUAAGAAUAAUAAAAUAAAAAUAAAAUUCCAAUUAUGUCCUUUUUAAAUUUAGGGGUAUUACAUUUGACCCUUGACCUCAUGUCAUUCACGUCAAAUAGAUUACGAAAAGUGUACUUAUGUACACAUUAUAUAUUUAGACACUACAACAGUUUUGGCUUUUACCAGCGCUUAAAAGCACUGGUAAAAGUCUUAAAAAGCGCUGGUAAAGCCAGUGUCGGUAGGCCUUUACCAGCGCUUUUUCAAGAAGCGCUGGUAAAGGCCUUUUACCAGCGCUUUUCCAAAAGCACUGGUAAAGGCCUUUUACCAGCGCUUUUCCAAAAAGCGCUGGCAUACCAGUGCUUUUCCAGAAAGCGCUUGUAAAGGGGCAUUUAAUUUUUUUUUUUCCUCCCCCCCUAUGCCAGUGCUCUUUUAAGAGCACUGGUAAAAGGUCAUUUUAAUUUAUUUUUUUCCCCCUUUAUUGUUUUUGGAAAAAAAUAUCUUUACGGCUAAUAAAUAUCAUCAAGUCAAUAUAAAAAUACCAUCCAAAUUGUUUUUACAUAAUACAACCACAAGUCAACCUACUGCCAAUAUGAAAAAUACCAUCAAAAUUGGUUACUAAUAGAUAAAGCUGGUAAAUGUCAACCAAAAAGGCAAAAUGUAUACUAAUACGACCCCAAGUUAACCAGCCAAUAUGAAAAUACCAUCCAAAUUGUCUAGAUAAAGCUACUAAAUGUCACGCAAAAAGAAUUAAGAAUUUUUGACAAAUGUAGUACAAGUUUAUCAAAAAGAACCCAUCCAAGGCAAAGGAAAUUUAGAAAGCACAGCCACGACCCCAUCUUUAGCUUCAACUUCAAAAACUCUUCUUGCUCAUUUGAUUUGAAUUACCCUACAUUUUUUAUAAAUUCAUUAAGCGCACAUUAUAAUAAAUGAAAAUUUAACAUAUAAGAGAAAUUAAAAGUUCAUAACCUUAACUGAAUUGGCAUCACGACUAGAAAAUGAAUUUGGGGAUACUCUAGGAGGAGCAUUUAAAGAAUCAGAGCCUUUCAAAAUAACAAAACAAAAUACAUGAAAUCUUGGCAUAAGUAAACAUAUAUUUAGUAAAGAGUAAAACUAAUAAUAUAUAUACCUGUCCACUACAAUUUUGUGGUUGCAUCUGCAUUAGCAUAGCCAUCUGUUGUUGUAAAUUUUCCAACUUGUCGUCAUAGUUGGCUCGUAAAUUUUCCAACUUGUUAUCAUAAUCGGCUUGCUUUUUUGAAAUCGUCUCCUGUAACUCUACACGUGCAGCACGUGCCUCCUCAUCAGAUUUUUUUGCUUUAUUAAUUAGUUCAGCUUUACUAGGAGAAGGCCCCCAAACAUCGCUUGGUGUAGGCCCGAAGCCAAGCAUCCGCACACGACCAGUUCUUUCUUCUCCCCUCACAACGGAGAACAAAUCAUUGGAACUGCCAAUAGGAGAGUCAGAGUAACUUUUUUGAAGUUCUUUUAUAUUUUCUUGCAAAAAAAAAAAAAAAAAAAAAAAAAAAAAAAAAUGAAGAAGAAUAAUGAAUGUAUAAAAAAUAAAUUAAAUAGAAUGCUUCGUGUCCAACAUUUGGGUAGUAUAUUUGACUUUUAGAAUGGAGGGAGAUUUUGGAGUACUGUGAAAGAGCAGCGGUGAAAAAUGGACUCAAUUUUUUAAAUUUCUAGUCCAAAUGCAAGAAAUUGAGAUUUUUCAGCUAUAUAAAAGGUUAAAGUCCAUAGUUAAUUACUCCAUUUUUAAAAGACUAAUGAUUUGGCACUACAACAUAUUAGGUUUUUACCAGCGCUUCUAAAAAAAGCGCUGGUAUAGGUCUAAUAUUACCAGCGCUUUUAAAAAAAGCGCUGGUAUAGGUGUAAUGGUACCAGCGCUUUUCCUAGGAGCGCUGGUUUUUAAAAGCACUGGUAGAGGUGUAAUGGUACCAGCGCUUUUCCUAGGAGUGCUGGUAUAGGUGUAAUCGUAACAAUGCUUUUUUUAAAAGCGUUAGUAUAGGUGUAAUCGUACCAGCGCUCUUUGUAGGAGCGUUGGUAUAGGUGUAAUAGUACCAGCGCUUUUUGUAGGAGCGCUGGUAUAGGUGUCCCCAUUUUUCCACUUCCCUCCAUUUUUUUUCCCUUCACUCCAUUUUUUCCCUCCGUUGAUUUAUAUAUAGAAUAUUUGGGCCCUAAAACUACGUCGUUUUGUAUGGAAUUAACAUUGUAUUCUCCACUUUCCCAUUUUAUUUUGCAAUAGCCCUAAUCCUUUCAUUUUGCAACAGCCCUAAUCCUUCAGCCGUUCUCUUGCUUUCCAUCACAGCUCUCUCAUCACAGUCUCGCCCUUCCAUCAUUGGUUGCGCCCUUCCAUCACCGGUCAACGAUUCGAACUUCUUCAAGUGAAAGCUUGAACCAUCACUCUCUCUGUCUUCCUAUUCCCAACCCAACCAUUCCUAUUCCAGACAUUAUCUAAGUAGAUUUUGUAGCAAUUCGGCUUCGAGUGCGUAGGGGAAGAAGUGCCGUCAUCAAGCCGGGAAUACGGAAACAGCUAAAGAAGUAAACAAGAUCAGGAGGAAAUAAUCGAUCGUAGCUUGGAUUGUUGGAACAAGUUUUGUCGUUGAUUAGUCUGAUUUCGUUUUUCAGGUGCAUUGUUGGAGAGGAAGCAAGCAAAGGAGUAUUCAAGCUAAGCAAGCAAGGAAAAGUGUUGAAAAUUUUUAAAAAUUUGCUAAGCUAAGCUAUAAAUUUGGAGUUGAAGUGCUAAAGGACCUUUGUGAGACUUUCUUUACUUAAUCCCUUAGUUCAAUCAUCGGCCCGCGUGAAGGCUUUCUUUUAAUUAUUCUUUACAUCAUUAUUGUUAAAGCAUGGGAGUAUGAAUUAAGUGUAUGUGGAAGAAGUCUAAUUGCAUUACUGUGAAGGCAUAGUGUUUGUCAUUCUUUGUGUUUGUUGUGUUUUGCAUUGUGCAUUCAUGGACGUCGUUCAUUGAGACCAACUCUUGUCCCUCUUGAUUUGCAUUUGGAAUGUAUCGUUAGAAAUCCUAGGGGAAGAGGAAGUUCAAAUAGAUCCAAUCUAUCAAUGAUGACCAUAAUAAUGAUCAUGUUGAGGACCUUGGUCAUAUAAACCAACAAGGUAUCCUUCAUCCCAAUGUGCACAAUGAGAACAUACAAGUAUCAUUAGGCAUGCCUAGGCCAUUCAUUCACCAACCACCAUAACAACAAGGCCAAGCUCCAUAUGGAAUGCCAAGGCCAAUGUAUGCUCCACAACCUUCUAUCAUCAAUCAAGGAAUUCAAAACCAAGGUGUUCAUGUUGCACUUCAAGUAGCUAAUCCACCUCUUGCUUUAAGAGACCAUUCUGUGCCUAACGAGUAUAAUGCACUGUGAUACCCCUCGGAUCCGAGACACGAGUCGAUCAGGCCCAGGCCCAAACCUGAGGGAAUAUCUAAUAAUUAAUAUUUUAUAAUGAACACGGAAUACAAAAUGAAUUAAGAAAUGAAAUUAAAGCUGAAAGGAACUAAAAAUAGAAUCUGCAAAAUAUUAUAAUUAUUAAAAUCCAUCAAACCCAAACUCCAAAACUCCAUCAGUUUACAACUCGGGAAUCCAUCUCUAGUGGACCCCUAUUAAACAUCCAGACUGAAAUAAAACAACUGUAAUAAACAUCCAGAAAAACUAUGGGAAGAAUCCUACAUCGUCAGAAGAGUGAAUAGAGACCUCUGCUUAGCACGAACACAUCUAAGCCUGGAACUGUCGUGUACCUGAAAAAAUAGAAGUGGGUCAGGCCCACGCGCAAGUUCUAUACUACUAUAAUCCAAACAGAGGCCGAUACGCAUGUACAUCCUAAACAAUUCAACAAUAGCUAAUAGUCCGUAAAUAUAUAUAUAGUCACACUAAAGGACUCUCACUAGACUACAGGCCGGUCUUAACUUGAAUAGAGGCAACAUGCUAAAAUGCACACGAAGUGGGCAUGUGUACCUAAACCUAAACAGGGUACACCUCUAACCAUCGUAUCUAGCUAUGCAUCCCAACGCAUAUACGCUCCCUAACCGUCGAUCCUGAGACUCAAGCUCAUAUCGAGGUACCACAACAAUAUAUUUAAAGUCCCUCCUGAACCCUAGUAGUGCCGCUCAACUAGUCGUUGCUAUGACACUACAAUUAAUAGGACUUAAAUUUAGUUAAUUCAUUUCAUAAUCCAGAGUGGGUAGGUUUUGGUAUUUUGAAACCAAACCGUCCCUAGUAUACCACCGUCCCAUACCGGUGUAUACUAUCCAAUCAUCCAGCAGUUGAUAACAUCAACAAUUAAAAUAAACAUCCGCUAAAUCCAUAUUUCCAUUACUGAUACUAACAGGCAUAGUGUAAGCAUCAAUAACCAUAGUCACAGUAUAAAUAUAAACCUACUCAGUUUAGGUUGUAUCAUAAAAUCUGGUACAGUGAUAGGAUUAUUUCAAACUGUCAUCCAACACUUAGCAGUUGAUACUACAGCCAUUUAGAAUAACCAUCAACAAGUUCAAUUCCUCCAACAGUUGAUACUAGCAGUAAUAGUGCAAGUAUCAAGAUAGAAUUACAGUAUGUAUAUACACAUGCUUAGUUUUUGGUUGUUUCACAAAAUCCAAUUGAUGUUAAAUUUAAAACUUAGUUCCAUUCAACACUAACGCAUCCUACCCAUAUAUAAUUCAAAUACAAGAUCAUGGUAUAUGGUCAAACAUGUUCUAUUACCAUUGUUCAUCUCAGAAAAGGCUAUUGUAGAGAACUAAACACUACAAGUCUAUCAACUCCAAUCACAGUAUAAUUAUUUGUUCAAGUUCUUUAUUGUCCAAGCUAUUCCAAGUGGACAGAUUAAUUAACACUCCUUUUGGAACCUUAACCCAGACAUGAGCCUCUUCUAAACAUUACAUAUUCAGUUUUAACCUCAUCUGAAAAGUUCCAGAACCAUCCACUACAUGAAAAACUAAUUAGAAACGAAGAAAAAAUUGAAAAACUGAGCAAAGAGACGUCUCCAAAAAUUAGAGCCGCCUCCUUUAGACCUUGGAGCUGGCUCCAAUUUCUUGGAGCCGCCUCCACACUAAGGGGAGCCGGCUCCCUCCAAGGGAGAGUCGGCUCCCUCCCUCUCUGCUUCGUCGUUCCCUCCUCCGAUGAACUCUGUAGCCUCUACACCUCACUGUUAUGACUUCCAAACCCUGUAACCUAACCCUAGUGUGUUCCCAGGCCAUGUUUAAGUCCUUAUACCAUUAUUAAUCAUGAAUUUAAAUCAAGAAUUAUGCACACAACUAUCAAGUUUUAACAGUUUAACAACCAUGCAACACAUACUGGUGUGUAUCAAACUUUAGCACGAAUAGAGAAACUUUUUAAGUUACAAUUAAUCCUGGAACAGUUUAGGAAUGCAAAGAACACGAAGCCUAAGGGAGAGAGUAAGGAUAGAACUUGACUUUGAGAUCUUUGUUCAAAAUCUCUACGCCGUCUUCUAAGACCUCCGAUGAAUACAAUUGUUGUAAACCUCCUCUGUUUCUCUCUCUGCUACUUCCACAGACGUGUGUUGGUUUUCUUUUCUUUGUGUUUUUUUUUUUUAUUUGUAUGUAAAACCCUAGGUAGCCUUAUUACGUCUAUUUAUAAGGCUACAUAAAACCUAAAGCUCACUGAAGCCCUAAUGUGAAACCUAAUCGGCCCAUAACACCAUUAAAGUGAAUAAGCAUGUCUGCUACUUACCACCAAUCCUACAGUAACGUGAAUUUAGGAAAACAAGUAACUUUAAUUUAUUUUAAUUACCAAUUAACCAAAAACUAAAUAAAACAAUUAAUAAAGAAUUAAAAAACACAAUUAAGUAAAUAAAAUUAAACGAAGUAAAACAAUAUAAAUAAUUAAAGUCAAUAAACAGGUCAACCAAACAACUAAUUACAAUUAAACCAAUUAAAACAUUAAAUAAAACAAUUAAUCAAAAUACCGAGACUAUCCUUUUAAAAAUUAGGGGUAUUACAUUCUUCCCCCUUAACAAAAGGAAUUCCAUCCUCGGAAUUCGCUCUUACCUUCUUCCAAAAUUUCAAGAAACUGCGAGCGAAUGACAUCCUCCCGUUCCCAAGUAGACUCAGCGUCAUUGUGAUGACUCCACUGGACACGAACCAAAGGAAUAACCUUAUUACGAAGGAUCUCAUCCCGAUGAUCUACAAUACGAUAUGGUGGUUCCAAAUAAGUUGCAUCCGGCUGCAACUCAAUCUCCCCAACAUCGAUAUGCUGAUACCGAUCCUCAUCUCGCAGAAAUUUUCGCAACAUGGAAACAUGAAACACGUUGUGGACGCGAUCCAAAGUAUCCGGAAGUGCCAAUCGAUAAGCAACGGCUCCAAUGCGAUCCGUAAUCAUGAAUGGACCGACAAAUCGCAGUGACAACUUCUUUUUCUUCCUAAAGCGCAUAACACCCUUCAUAGGAGACACUUUGAGUAGAACCUGAUCCCCAACCUGAAACUCCAAUGCCCAAGUAUGACGAUCAGUAUAGCUCUUCUGCCUACUUUGGGUAGUACGCAUGCGAUCUCAAAUAAGAGCUAUCUUCUUAAAAGUAUCCUUGAUGAACUCAGGACCCAAGAAUCUGCUCUCACCAACCUCCAUCCAACAAACAGGCAAUCGACAGGGUCGGCCGUAUAACGCCUCAAAUGGUGCCAUCCCAACAGUCUUCUGAAAACUAUUGUUAUAAGCAAACUCCACAAGCGGUAAGUAAUCCUCCCAGUGGCCCUUGAAAUCAAGAACACACGACCGAAGCAUAUCCUCCAUAAUCUAAUUCACCCGCUCAGUCUGUCCGUCAGUCUGAGGAUGAUAAGCAGUGCUAAGAUGCAACUCUAUACCCAACGCCUGCUGAAAACUCUUCCAGAAUCCUGACACAAAGCUCGAAUCCCUGUUCAAUAUGAUAGACAACGGAAUGCCAUGCAACUUCACAAUCUCUGAGAUGUAAAGCCUUGCCAACUGCUCCGAAGUGAAAUCAAUUCAAGUAGGCAAGAAAUGGGCUAACUUAGUCAACCUAUCCACAAUAACCCAUAUGGAAUUAUGCCCUUUGAAAGAAUUAGGCAGUCCUUCCACAAAAUCCAUAGAUAUGCUCUCCCAUUUCCACUCCGGAAUCGGUAGUGGCUGUAGAGCACCUGGCGGCCUCUGAUGAUUAAUCUUAACCAUCUAACAAGUACUACACUAAGAAACAAAAAGAGCAAUUUCCCUUUUCAUACCUACCCACCAAAACUGCCGUUUCAUAUCUUGAUGCAUCUUGUCACCUCCUGGAUGAACAGAAAACUCAGAAUGGUGAGUCUCAGUCAUCACAUCCUUCCUCAAAUCAUUAGCAGAAGGUACCACUAACUAUCCCUUGUACCUCAAACCUCCGUCAGCCCCAACAUAGUAAAAUGGAACCUCUCCAGAAGCUAUCUCUGCAACCUUGUCAAUGCACUGCUGAUCCGUGAGUUGUGCUUGUAAAACAUUGCGAAUGAAGGAAGGUGUAACCACCAUGCAAGCCAUAAAAGCAUCCGAUAACUCAUCCAUAUCCUUCAAAGCAUUCCACUCAGUGGUGAAUAAAGCAGAAAGACUACCAACAGGUCGGCGACUGAGUGCAUCCGCCACCAUAUUCGCUUUCCCUAGAUGAUACUAUAUAGAAAAGUGAUAGUCUUUCACAAAUUCCAACCACCUGCAUUGUCUCAUAUUCAGCUCCCGCUGAGUGAACAAGUACUGCAGACUCUUGUGAUCACUAAAUAAUCUGAAGGACUCACCCAAUAGAUAAUGCCUCCAAAUAUGUAAGGCAAAAACCACUGCUGUCAACUCCAAAUCAUGUGUUGGAUAAUUAAGCUCAUGAGGCUUAAGUUUCCGAGAUCCAUAAGAAAUCGGUCGCUCCUCCUGCAUCAAAACACAUCCAAGACCCUGCAACGAAGCAUCCGUGUAGACAAGAUACUCUAUCCCACUCUGUGGAGUAGCCAGAAUCGGUGCAGAAGUCAACUUCCUUUUCAGCUCAUCAAAAGCUCGCUGACAGUGUUCAUCCCACACGAACUGUACACCCUUCUUGGUCAGAUGAGUGAGUGGUUCUACUAUCUUGGAGAACCCCUAGAUGAACUGACGAUAAUAUCCUGCCAAAUCGAGAAAACUCCGAAUCUCGAUAGGUGAAGUUGGUUGACCCCACUUUAUCACAGCUGAAACCUUAGCUGGAUCAACCGCUAUCCCCCCUUCUGACACCACGUGACCCAGAAACUUCACUUCCCGUUGCCAAAAUUCACACUUCUCGAACUUGGCAUAUAACUGGUGCUCACGAAGCGUCUGCAAGACUAUGCGAAGAUGUCUAGCAUGAUCGUCCUCCGACAGAGAAUAGAUCAAGAUGUCAUCAAUAAAGACAAUAACAAAUUGAUCCAAAUAAGCCCAGAAGACUCUGUUCAUUAAGUCCAUGAACACUGCAGGUGCAUUAGUCGUCCCAAACGGCAUAAUACGAAACUCAUAAGAACCAUACCUCGUGAGAAACGCUGUCUUAGGAACAUCCUGCUCCCUGACCCUCAGCUGAUGAUACCCAGAACGCAGAUCAAUCUUGGAGAAGUAUGUGGCUCCCCUUAAUUGAUCAAAUAAGUCAUCAAUCUUGGGCAAAGGAUACUUGUUACGAAUCGUAACCUUGUUCAACUCCCUGUAAUCUAUACAUAAGCGAAGUGAACCAUUUUUCUUCUUCACAAAUAACACUGGUGCUCCCCAGGGUGAAGUACUCCUGCGAAUGAAACCCUGGCUAAGUAGCUGCUGAAUCUGAUCCCUCAGCUCGCGCAUCUCCACCGGUGCCAUCCUAUAAGGUGCCCUAGCAAUAGGCGCAGUGCCUGGAGCUAAAUCUAUCACGAAAUCGAUCUCGUAACUAGGUUACAACCCUGUAAUCUCCUAAAAAACAUCUGGAAAAUUCUGUACAUCGGUAUGUGAUCCAAUGACACAGUAAUCCCCUCCUCCUUUUCCUUCUCCACAUGGAACAAAUAGGUGCUACCGCCCCCUUUAGAAUGUGGCAUAGCUACUACAUACAUAUCCUGACCAGGUACGGUAAAUACAAUAGACCUAUCAAAAUAAUAAACUUGGACAUGGUAGUGAGACAACCAAUCCAUCCCAAGUAUCACAUCAUAAGUGUGCAUGUGCAGGACCAAUAGGUUGGUUAGAAAUCUGAGUCUGCCAAUAUCUAGUGUCACAGGCCCAUCACUCUCAUGUAUAAUAGCUGUAUCGCCCAAUGGUGUAGGAAUACCCUGAGGUCUAGUGCAUACCUUCGUCCUCAUCCCAGAUAAAACACCAAAAGUCCUAGCUACAAAUGAGUGUGUAGCACCCGUAUCAAAUAAAACACGUCCAUGAGAACUAUGUAUAGGAAACUUACCCUCAACAGCCUGAGGUGCCUGCAUAUCCUGUGGCUUAAGGUUGUACACCUUGCUAUAAUGUAAUUGCUACGGUGCCUGUCCCUGAGGUUGCGGCGGUGCCGGUAAUGCCAGAUAAGUCUAUCCCUGAAUCCGAAGAACCUGUAGAGUUGGAAGAGGCAUUGGCGCCCUCUGCCCCUGUUGCACAUGCUGUCCCUGUCCCUGUCUCUGUCCCUGUCUUAUUGUAGGACACUGCUUAGAAGUGUGACCGUACUCUCCACAAGUAUAACAACUACCCUGGAAAGUACCAAAUGGCCUCCUCUAUCGGUUAGCCGGUGGCUGACCCUGUCCUACCUGCGGUCCCCCAUUCUGUUGACGCUGAAUAGGUGCUACAUCCUUGGGAGCAUCUGAACCACCCUUGUGCUUCUUCCAAGGCUGCUGUCCCUGGAAUAUGCCCUUGUCAUUCUAUCGGUGUCCGUUCCCAUUCCCUUUCUUAGCUGACUGGUUAGCAGAGUCUCUGUCACCCCGCUUCUCACCCUUGGCCUGUAUAAUGUCCACGGUCAACUAAUACUACUGUAGAGCGGCGUCUACCACCUGAGCAUAGGUAGUAUAGGCUGGACUACCUGUAAUAGCUCUCUUGAUAGACCACAUCAGUCCCUUGACAAAAUUGUUAUGCUUCUUCUCUUCUGGUGCAAAGAGAGACAAGCGUGUGAACUGCUGCUCAUACUCCGCCACUGUCAUAUUCCCCUGCUGUAGAUUUAGAAACUCAGUCUUCAUAGCUACCCUGACUGCAUAAGGAAAGUACUUUUCAUCAAAGCGUGCACUGAACUGAUCGUAAGUCAAUGCCAUCCUCUCCUCUGCGGUGGUAACUGACUCCCACCACUGUAGUGUAUCCCCAACUAGCUUGAAUGUAGCAAGCAUCUGCUUUUAAACCUCCGUGCACUGAACCAAGCGAAGAUGUCGCUCGAUGUCCUAUUUUCACUGGUGAGCUGCUCUGGCAUCAGUGGAGCCUGUGAACUCAGGUGGGCUCCCCUUUAUGAAAGAACUCCUGGCCUUCUCCCAAGUAUCAGUCUGAACAACUGGUGCUGGUAGCGGUGCCGGCUGUACCUGAGGCUGAUUCCGAAGUGCAGCUGUUACCCCAGCUUCUAUAGCCCGAGCAACGAGCUCAUUGAGGUGAGGAAGAAUCUCUGGAUCUCUGACUUGGUCCAGAGUCUGCUAAACAUUCUCCUGUUCCUCCUGAAACUGACCCAUGUCUUCUUGAAACCCAAGCCUUUGCUGCUCUUCCUCCAUUUGCUGACGCCGUAGGAGAUAUUGAUGCCUACAUGCCGCUCUCCUUUCCUUCCUAGUUCCUUGCAUUUUCUGUCCGUUUCUAACGUUAACCAUUUGUUAACACGAAAAGACAGACGUCAAUACCAUUUCUAUAUGAACCGUAAGGAAUACAAUGAAUCCUAACUUAAGCUCUACUUAAGAGAAAAUGCUACGCGGAAGUCUUAUAUGAUAGAAUCCUAGAGACACUUGAACCUGGAGUGCUCUGAUACCAAUUGUGAUACCCCUCGAAUCCGAGACACGGGUUGAUCAGGCCCAGACCCAAACCUGAGGGAAUAUCUAACAAUUAAUAUUUUAUAAUGAAUACGGAAUACAAAAUAAAUUAAGAAAUGAAAUCAAAGCUGAAAGGAACUAAAAAUAGAAUCUGCAAAAUAUUAUAAUUAUUAAAAUCUAUCAAACCCAAACUCCAAAACUCCAUCAGUUUUCAACUCAGGAAUCCAUCUCUAGUGGACCCCUGUUAAACAUCCAGACUGAAAUAAAACAACUGUAAUAAACAUCCAGAAAAACUAUGGGAAGAAUCUUAUAUCGUCAGAAGAGUGAAUAGAGACCUCUGCUCAGCAUGAACACGUCUAAGCCUGGAACUGUCGUAUACCUGAAAAAAUAGAAGUGAGUCAGGCCCACGCGCAAGUUCUAUACUACUACAAUCCAAACAGAGGCCCGAUACGCAUGUACAUCCUAAACAAUUCAACAAUAGCUAAUAGUCCGUAAAUAUAUAUGUAGUCACACUAAAGGACUCUCACUGGACUACAGGCCGGUCUCAACCUGAAUAGAGGCAACAUGCUAAAACGCACACGAAGUGGGCAUGUGUACCUAAACCUAAACAGGGUACACCUCUAACCAUCGUAUCCAGCUAUGCAUCCCAAUGCAUAUACGCUCCCUAACCGUCGAUCCUGAGACUCAAUCUCAUAUUGAGGUACCAUAACAAUAUAUUUAAAGUCCCUCCUGAACCCUAGUAGUGCCGCUCAACUAGUCGUUUCUAUGACACUACAAUUAAUAGGACUUAACUUUUAGUUAAUCCAUUUCAUAAUCCAGAGUGGGUAGGUUUUGGUAUUUUGAAACCAAACCGUCCCUAGUAUACCACCAUCCCAUACCGGUGUAUACUAUCCAAUCAUCCAGCAGUUGAUAACAUCAACAAUUAAAAUAAACUUCUGCUAAAUCCAUAUUUCCAUUACUGAUACUAACAGGCAUAGUGUAAGCAUCAAUAACCAUAGUCACAAUAUAAAUAUAAACCUACUCAGUUUAGGUUGUAUCAUAAAAUCUGGUACAGUGAUAGGAUUAUUUCAAACUGUCAUCCAACACUUAGCAGUUGAUACUACAGCCAUUUAGAAUAACCAUCAACAAGUUCAAUUCCUCCAACAGUUGAUACUAGCAGUAAUAGUGCAAGUAUAAAGAUAGAAUUACAGUAUGUAUAUACACAUGCUUAGUUUUUGGUUGUUUCACAAAAUCCAAUUGAUGUUAAAUUUAAAACUUAGUUCCAUUCAACACUAACGCGUCCUACCCAUAUAUAAUUCAAAUACAAGAUCAUGGUAUAUGGUGAAACAUGUUCUAAUACCUUUAGACCUUGAAGCCGGCUCUAAUUUCUUGGAGCCGCCUCCACACUAAGGGGAGCCGGCUCCCUCCCUCUCUGCUUCGUCGUUCCUUCCUCCGAUGAACUCUGCAGCCUCUACACAUCACUGUUAUGACUUCCAAACCCUGUAACCUAACCCUAGUGUGUUCCCAGUCCAUGUUUAAGUCCUUAUACCAUUAUUAAUCAUGAAUUUAAAUCAAGAAUUAUGCACACAACUAUCAAGUUUUAACAGUUUAACAACCAUACAACACAUACUGGUGUGUAUCAGACUUUAGCAUGAACAGAGAAACUUUUUAAGUUACAAUUAAUCCUGGAACAGUUUAGGAAUGCAAAGAACACGAAGCCUAAGGGAGAGAGUAAGGAUAGAACUUGCCAUUGAGAUCUUUGUUCAAAAUCUCUACGCCGUCUUCUAAGACCUCCGGCGAACACAAUUGUUGUAAACCUCCUAUGUUUCUCUCUCUGCUACUUCCACAGACGUGUGUUGGUUUUCUUUUCUUUAUGUUUUUUUUAUUUGUAUGUAAAACCCUAGGUAGCCUUAUUACAUCUAUUUAUAAGGCUACACAAAACCUAAAGCUCACUGAAGCCCUAAUGUGAAACCUAAUCGGCCCAUAACACCAUCAAAGUGAAUAAGCAUGUCUGCUACUUACCACCAAUCCUACAGUAACGUGAAUUUAGGAAAACAAGUAACUUUAAUUUAUUUUAAUUACCAAUUAACCAAAAACUAAAUAAAACAAUUAACAAAGAAUUAAAGAACAUAAUUAAGCAAAUAAAAUUAAACUAAGUAAAACAAUUUAAAUAAUUAAAGUCAAUAAACAGUUCUACCAAACAACUAAUUACAAUUAAACCAAUUAAAACAUUAAAUAAAACAAUUAAUGAAAAGAAAACAAUUAAUCAAAAUACCGAGACUAUGCUUUUGAAAAUUAGGGGUAUUACAUGCACCUACCUGCAUCCAAUUGCCUCCAUUUAGAGCACAUCAUUAUGAAAUUAAGCCAAAAACUAUUCAAAUGCUUCCUAAUUAUCAAGGAUUUCCAAGUGAAGAACCUUACAAGUAUUUGGAUGAAUUUCUUGAAGUAUAUUCCACCAUAAAAUAUACGGACAUGCCGGAAGAGGUUUUAAGACUCAAACUUUUUCCAUUCACCUUAAAAGACAAGGCGAAGUAUUGGUUUAACAAUCUUAGGCCUUUUUCAAUCACUUCUUGGGCAAAAAUGCAACAAGAAUUCUUGAAAAAGUACUAUCCGGUUUCUAAGACCAAUGCCAUGAGAACCUUAAUUCGAGAAUUUUCACAUGGGGAUGGAGAAACGUUCCAUGAGGUAUGGGAACGCUUCAAUGAAUUGCUUAGGAACUGUCCACAUCAUGACAUGCCCAAAUGACAAUUAGUUUAAUAUUUCUUUGAAAGCUUAUCAGACAACUAUAAGAGUAUGGUUGAUGCUUCCAUGGGUGGCUCAUACAUUGAUAGGCAUGAGGAUGACGUGUAGCGUCUUUAUGAGAGCAUGAGUGAAAAUUCUUUGCAUAAAACACUAUCAUACAAGAAUAGUAGAAAUUCACAAGGUAGGAAGAGUGUUAGCUUACAUCAAGUUGACCAUUCAAAUGAAAUAGUCGCCGAAAUGAAGUCUUUAUCUCAAAGGUUUGAUCAAUUUUUGAUUAACCAAAACUCGGCGAACCAAGUAUCUUCCUUCCCUAACCAUUCUCAUCGUGCAUCAAAUGAAACAUGUAUGACUUGUUCUAGUGUUCUUCAUUUUACUUCUCAUUGUCCUCACGGACAAGUGCAAAAUGAACCUAAUGAACAAGUCAAUGCAGCUUUUGUGAACCAAGGGAAUAAUCCUUAUGAUACUCACUAUAAUCCAAGUUGGAGGAAUCAUCCGAAUUUCUCUUGGAAAAACUAAGGAGAGGGCUCAAACCCUUCCCAAGGAGGUUUUCAAGGGAAGUACAUUCCACCUCUACUUCAAAACCAAGGAUCCCAAGGUUAUAGACCUUAUCAAUCACAAGGGAAUCAAUUUGCUAAUUCUCAUUUUCCCAACCAAUCUUAUUCCCAAGGAAAUACUCGAAGUCCCGCCUUUGAAGAAAAAGUUUUGAAUGCUUUGGGCACUUUAGAGGCUAACACUUAAUUACUUCAUUCUCACUCUCAAUCUAUUGCGAAGCUAGAAACCCAGGUAGGGCAAAUAACAAGCACACUCAAUGCAAGAGAGAAGGGAAAGAUGCCCAUUAAUGCCCCACCUAAGCAACAAUAUGUUGUGGAAACCCAUUCCUCAUCGGAAGGCCACACCAUUGAAUAUGUUAAUGCGGUGACUACCUUGCGGAGUAGUAGGAUUGUGGACAAUCAAGUAGAAAUGUCCAAUGAAGAGAAUGAACCGGUGCAACCUCAAGUUGUCACCCGUCCCGUUUCACAUCCCAUUCCUCUUUCAUUGCGUGUUCAUGAUCUUAUGAAUGAGAAAUCUUCAAAAUGUGAUUUGAAAAGUGAUUUUGAAAAUGAUACAUUGAAAAAAAUCUUGAAAAAUGUGUUUGAAAAAGAAGUUUUAAAAAAUGAUGUUGAAAAAGUUUUGUUGAAAAAUGAUUUGAAAACUUCUUGUGUUGAAGAGAGUUCAAAAGAAAAUUCUGAAAAAAUGUUUGAACCAAAAGUUCCAUUUCCGGAUGCCUUAAAAGGAUCCAUUUCAAAAGAUAAGCAAAAGGCAAAAACCAAUGAAAUCAUGGAAAUGUUUAGGCAAGUGAAAGUUAAUCUUCCACUAUUGGAUGCAAUCAAGCAAAUUCCGGCUUAUGCCAAAUUCUUGAAAGACUUGUGCACCCAAAAGCGGAAGAACAAGAGCCAAGCACCAAGAAAAGUGGUUUUGACCGAGUAAGUAAGCUCCAUUUUGCAAUAUAACAUUCUUCCAAAGUUUAAGGACCCCGGUUCACCCACUACAUCAUACAUUAUUGGUGAUCAUAUCAUUAAUCGGGCGCUUCUUGACUUAACAGCAAGUGUUAACUUUCUUCCAUACUCAGUUUAUGUCAAAUUGGGCCUAGGUGAAUUGAAACCGACGUCGGUAGUUUUGCAACUUGCCGAUCGAUCCAUUAAGAAGCCUAGGGGUAUAAUUGAGGAUGUUUUGAUUAAGAUUGAUAAAUUCUUCUUCCCGGUUGAUUUCAUUGUCAUCGACACGGAACUGGUCCCCAAUCCUAAGAGCCAAAUUCCCGUUAUCCUUGGCCGUCCUUUCUUGGCAACCGCUAAUGCGAACAUCAAUUGUAGGACGAGGAUAAUGAAGAUCUCAUUUGGCCACAUGAAGGUGAAGUUGAAUAUCUUUAAUCCCAUACCCAAUUCAUUUGACAAAUAUGAAUGAGAGGUUAAUGUUGUAGAUAAAUGUCAUGAUCUUCAAUGUCAAGGAAAUGAGCUUUUGUGUAAGACCAAAACUUCCAAAGGAUCAUCUUCAACCUUGCAUUCUCAAAAUCUUGUUUCAAAUUCUUGCUUUGAAAGGGCAUGGAAGCCUAAAGGUUGUGAUUGCAUAGACAAGGGACCAAAAGUUUCUUUUGAGCUUAAUCCAACAAGUUCUUCAAAGAACCAUUUAUUGGGUGGAGUUCAAAGUAUCUAUCACCCCAACAAGGACGGGAUGCAUUAUAAGAUCUUUGAUCCGGGCUAAAAGAGCCCAAUGUCUUACUAGAGACGUUAAAGACUAGCAAAGACAUUUCGUAGGGUGUCAAAACCCUACUCCUCCCUCAUUUCUAUUUUAAAUUUCAUUUCUUGCGAAGUCUAGAUACUUGUUUUUGGUUCUCAUAUGCAUUGAAAGGAACUUUGGUGAGGAUUGCAUGAGCUUUCAUGUCAUUAUUGAGCAUUCUACAUAGUUCGAUCGAUCUCAAACCUAAGUUUGAUCGAUCGAACUCCAUUUUGCAUCCAACACUUAGAAAAAUUUUCGACCUGUAGAAACCUGCAUCCAAAUCACCUCUCUAUCUCAUUGUUCGGACUAACUCUUAGAUCGAUCAAGAGACCUUCGAUCAAUCCAACUUCCAAGUUCGAUCGAUCUCAUAAUUCAACACUUAGAAAAAUUUAAGCCUACAUCAACCUGUAUAUUUCACCUCUCUGUCUCAUCGAUCGAAACAUUCCAAGAUCGAUCAAGAAGUUCUUCGAUCAAUCCAACUUUCAAGUUCGAUCGAUCUUCAAGUUCCAACACUUAGCCAAUUUUCUGAACCAAAAACCUGCAUAUUUUUGCUCUCUGUCUGAUCGAUCGAACUCUUGUUUCGAUCGAUCUCAGUUAUUCAUUUCAUUAUUUUGACUUUGUUUUGACUUUUCAAAUUUUUUUUUUUUAAAAAAAAAACACCAAAAAUAUUUUAUUUUAUUUUAUUUUACAAUUUUUAAUUUUAAUUCCAAUUUUUAAUUUUAAUUUUGCAAUUUUCAAAAAUUUCAAAAAUCCAAAAAUACUUUAAAGAGAGUUCAUCACAGUUCGAUCGAUCGAUCGAACUAUGCCGGGAAUGUUUUUAAAAAUAAAACCGAGGGUUUUCUAGAUCGAUACCUUAGAUCAAUCUCACCCUCUCUACAAACCCUAACCCCCUUCUCCGUCACCAUUUUGCCAUCACCUCUACCACCUCCGGUGAACUUUCCGGCGAGCAUUUAAGCAUCAAUCUCUCUCUCCCUUCUUGGAUUCAUCUUCACUCUUCCACAUCUCCACUUCUCUCAUCGUUUGAGGUAAGAUCCGAGAAUGUCCCUCAUGAUUUAACCCUCAAUCUUGUGCAUACAUGCUUUAUAUGUUGAAUACAUACUAUAUACAUGACAAAAUCCUCCAUUGUUGAAGCUUGAAACAUUUGUGUCUAUAUAUAUAUAUAUAUAUGUAUAUAUGUGUGUAUAUUUUUGAUGAUUUGAUUCGAUUUGGGAGUAUGGGCUUUAAACAGUGGCUAAGAUUGAUUAAUUUGUUGUAUUGCUGGGCCUACAAACACGUUCGUGUAGGCACCGUGCUUCCAAAGUCACAGAUCAGUGACCUUUGAGUUUUCAUUGUCGCACAGUUCGAUCGAUCGAACUUGUAUCUCAGAUCGAGCUUGAGAGAUCGAUCAAACUCAUGUCCCCGAUCGAUCGAAGUUGUGAGAUCGUUCUCACUUAUUUUCGAUUGAUCCAACUUUUGUGAUCGAUCUCACUCCUUUUUAUGAUCGAUCAAACUUCACAGAUCUCACACAUACACUUUAUUCAUCAUAUCUUAUGUUCAUGCUAUCUCAUAUAUGCCCAAUGCCUGUGAUAUUCCAUAUUGGAUGCAUUUCAUACUUACAUUGUUUAGCAUGUUUCAUAUCCUGCCACUUGCAUAGAUUCAUGUCAUAUCUGUUUUGUCUAUUUUUUUUAUUUAACAUAUAUGUUUCUAUAUUAUGCUUAAACUUUCUUACUCUGGUACUAACUCCCAUUGCAAGUUUUUCUUUUUCUUUUUGCAGGCCAUGGUUAAGAGGAAGACCGUUGCUAACAGGCAACACGGGCCCCACCGACACAUUAGACCACGGACAGAGAAGCCAGCAGAGCCCUCUUAUGCACAGGAGGAGCCAGCACAGGCUAUCCCACCUCAGUCACCAUCUCAUGAGGCUGAGGAUGACCACAUACCAUCCACCUCUACGGCUCAUCCUGCAUUCACUCUAUUACCAUCUCCACUGCAUACUAAAGCUGAGCAUUCACCUCAGCCUGCUCAUUCACCUCAGCCAUCUCAUCUGGAGCGUGAUAGGCCUGCGCCUCGAUAUGCGCAUAUGACGGUCGACCAUGAGUCAGUGUUCGACACGGCCUUUUUCUAUAGAUCGGUGCUGACCCGAUCCGCUUACCAUGACAUCAUUCAGAGGGGUCUGGCCGCUAUUCUUACCCUCGUCACAGAGCCAGUCUACCCGCGGCUGGUACGGUUGUUUUACUAGAACCUUUGACCAUUGCCGCGUACCACAGCAGAGCUAGUCACUUCUAUAGAUGGACAUCCGAUCACCAUCACAGUGGACUCACUAGCCCGCUCUUGCUGCUGUCUACACAGAUGUCCUCCAGAGCUUCAGGAGACAUAUCCGAGGCUAUACAGGCCUUCAUACGCCGACAUAGCAGUCUUUCUUACAAGUCAUCAUACCAGUGGCGAAACCUUCGCCACUUGGACAUUCCUUCCAGAUGACCUUUGGUUCACCAAUUUUGUGCUUUUCUGGAAUAUAUACAUGGCAGGGCAUAAGAUUCAGAGGAGGGGCGAUUAUUUGACAACCCUCUACGCCUUCUACACCAGGCAUUGGGUGUCCAUUCCUGCGCUCAUCUGGAGCGUGAUGAGGAAGCUAUAUGACGAGUACAUCAGCAAGGAGACGCCCUGACGGGCUAAGUCUCUUCCAUUCAGCCACCUCAUCACCCAGAUUUUAAUAGAUCAGCGUUACCCUAUUCACCCUCAGGAGCUGUGAUACCCCUCGGAUCCGAGACACGGGUUGAUCAGGCCCAGGCCCAAACCCGAGGGAAUAUCAAACAAUUAAUAUUUUAUAAUAAACACGAAAUACAAAAUAAAUUAAGAAAUGAAAUUAAAGCUGGAAGGAACUAAAAAUAGAAUCCGCAAAAUAUUAUAAUUAUUAAAAUCCAUCAAGCCCAAACUCCAAAACUCCAUCAGUUUACAACUUGGGAAUCCAUCUCUAGUGGACCCCUAUUAAACAUCCAAACGGAAGAUAGAACAAUUGUAAUAAACGUCCAGAAAUAAAACUAUAGAGAGAGCCCUACAUCGUCGGAAGAGUGAAUAGAGACCUCUGCUCAGCACGAACACGUCUAAGCUUGGAACUGUCGUGUACCUGAAAAAUAUAAGUGGGUCAGGCCCACGCGCAAGCUCUAUACUACUACAAUCCAAACAGAGGUCCGAUACGCAUGUACAUCCUAAACAAUUUAACAAUAGUUAAUAGUCCGUAAAUAUAUAUAUAGUCACACUAAAGGACUCUCACUGGACUACAGGCCGGUCUCAACCUGAAUAGAGGUAACAUGCUAAAACGCACACGAAGUGGGCAUAUGUACCUAUACUUAAACAUGGUACACCUCCAACCAUCGUAGCCAGCUACACAUCCCGAUGCAUAUACGCUCUCUAGCCAUCGGUCCUGAGGCUCAAGCUCAUACCGAGGCACCAUAACAGUACAUAUAUAAAAUCCAUCCAAAAUCCCUGGUAUUGCCGCUCAACAAGUAGUUGCCAUGACAAUACAAAUCCACGGGACUUAACUUUUAGUUAAUCCCAUCCUUAUUCCAAGUAGGUGGGUAAUGGUAUUAUUUUAAAAACCAAACCCAUCCUUAGUAUGUCACCGUCCCAUACCGGUGCCUACUUUCCAAUCCUCCAGUAGUCAAUAAUACCAAUAAAUCAAGUAUAUAUCAACUAAAUUCCAACAUCCGACAUUCAAUGUUAGCAAUGAUAAAAUAAGCAUUGAUAAACAGGGUCACAACAACAACAUAUACAUGCCCAAUUUAAGUUGUUCCCUAUAGUCUGAUAUAAAGACAGAAUUAAUUAAAACUUCCAUUUAACACCUUACAAAUGACAUACAGAUAUGUAGGGUAUGUAUCACAAAAUCCUAACCUCCAUAGUUGAUACUAACUGUGAUAAUAUAAGCAUCAAAACAAUAUUCACAGUAUGUAUGUAGACAUGCUCAAAUUAUAGUGCUCCACAAAACCGAUCUAGUGUUAAACUCAAAUCCUCCUAGUAUUUAAGUUCCAACAGUUGUUAUUAUAGAAGUUAAGAUAGCUAUCAUCUAGACCCAUCCUUCCAAUAAUUUAUACUAGCAGUGGUAAGGAAAAACGUGAACCAAAGAACCAUAAUGCAUCCACAAACAUGCUUAGUCUAGGUUGAACAAGCAUACAACACUACUGUAACUACCAGUUUCAUAGCAAAACAUAUAUCAUUUUAGUUUGGUUUAAUCUUCAUUAAUCCUGAAAUCAUUUAAGAGUGUAAAGAGUAUGAAGCCUAAGGGAAAGAGUAAGGAUAGAAUCUUGCCUCAGAAACUUUUGUUCAAAGUUUCAACGUCGUCUUCUUAAAAAAUCCCGGCGAGUUCCAAAACCUGGUUACUGUUCACGGGUAUGAAACACUAUUCCCGAACUCAAAAUCUGAUCUCCACCGUUCAGAUUGUGCGACACUGAGUCAUGAACCUAUUCUCCAAAUUUCAGCUCGAUCGGACCACGGACGAAGCAGGAUUGGAUGUUUGAUGAAAUCUGGGCAGAAUGGAAAAAAAAACCUGUGCGACCCAGUUACUGUUCACGAGUACGAAUUACUGUUACCGAGGUCAAACUCUGAUCUCCACUAUUCAGAUUGUGCAUCACUGAGUCAUGAACCUCUCUUCCAAAAUUCAGCUCGAUCGGACCACGGACGAAGCGGGAUCGGAUGUUUGAUGAAAUCUGGGUAGAAUGGAAAAAACCUGUGUGACCUAGUUACUGUUCACGAGUUCGAAUCACUAUUCCCGAGGUCAAACUCUGAUCUCCACCGUUCAGAUUGUGCGUCACUAAGUCAUGAACCUCUCCUCCAAAAUUCAGCUCGAUCGUACCACGGACGAAGCAGGAUCGGAGCUUUGAUCAAACCUUGGCAGAAUGUGAAAAACUGCAUUUUUCCUUUUCCACUUCCACAAAACGUGUGCUUUGUUUAAAAAACCCUACGCAGACGUCUACCUUAUACUUAUAGAGUUUUCCUAAACCCUAGGUUCAUUUAAGUCCAACUCACAAUCCUAACCGGCCCAUCCAUUAACGUAGAAACCUACGAUGGCUAUAAUAUAAAACCCUAAUUUAUACUGUAAUUAAAACCCUAGUUAGAUGUAUUUACCUAAAUACCCUAUUCACCAUUAAAUACUUAACAAAUAAUCUAAUUGAACAAAAUAAUAAUUAGUAAACCCAAUUAAACCAAAUAAGACACAUAUAAAAUAAGACACACAUAGAAUAAUUAAACCAAUUACACUUAAACCAUUAAUGCCAAUUAAAUAAUUAAAACACUAACAAGUAAUUCCAAUCAAAUAACUAAACCAAUUACACUUAAACCAUUAAUGCCAAUUAAAUAAUUAAAACACUAACAAGUAAUUCCAAUCAAAUAACUAAAUCAAUUACACUUAAACCAUUAAUGCCAAUUAAAUAAUUAAAAUACUAACAAGUAAUUUCAAUCAAAUAACUAAAAAUAAAUAUCAUUUAAAUAAAUUAAAUCACCACAAAAGAAAACAAUUAAGCACCUAAUAAAAAAAUAUAAUGACACAUAAUCAAAUAAAAUGCACUUAAAUAAUAAAUUAAAUACCAUUAAAUACCAGGAAUAUCCUUUUUAAAAUUAGGGGUAUUACAGGAGCACCCCAAGAGAGGUUCCUGUCACUUCCUAAAGAAGGACUGGGACAAGAGCUACCGAUCCAUUAUUACCAGACUGUAGGACCACGCGAUAGUGGCUGCAGCGAAGUUAGAGGAGGAGGAGGCAUAGGCAGCAGCAGCAGAUCCCGCAGCGGAUGACACACCAGUUGAUCCAGCUGCAGAUCAUAUAGAUAUUGACUUAGAGCGCCGUGCAGACGACGCAGAGCAGUACUCUCCAGCCAGGUCGCCCAUUCACGAGCAGGAGCAAACUCAGGAGCUUUCUUCUGAUUCAUCUAUGCCUAAGGUGCCAGAUCUGACCCCUAGCUUUGGAGUACAUCUGCAGAUGCUUGAGGAUGCUGUUGUUGCCAUACGAGCUGAUCUUACAGCCCACAGAGCUGAUUUUAUUGCCUUCUGCACGGAUGUCGCGACUAUGUUCCGAGAUCUAUCCAGAGAUAUCCAUGGAGCCCGACCAGCCCAUCCUACCUCAUCCUCCUGAGUUCCCAGUUCCUUCUAUCUCAUGAUCCCUCUCUCCUAUUGAUACUUUACUUUUGUCACUGUACAUUAUUAUUUUUUACAACCGGUCUGUCGGCUUUGAUAUUUUUGUUAUACCUGCACUUUAUCUAUUUUAUAUAUAUCUGUUUUUGCUAUGGAUGACAUAUGAUUAUAUUCUCAUAUCUAUAUGUUUGAAUCCAUCAGGUGCAUCAUAGUGACUUCAGUGAGAGAGUGUUACCCAAUUUUCAGGACCACAGUUAAUCCCAAGUUUGGGGGGCCAUACCACCCACUUUGGAUACUUCAGUCCCGAUCAUUCUUGCUUAGUUGCACUGGUAUACUCUUUCCUUUAUUCUCUUGCACAUUAAGGACAUUGUGCCAUUUAAGUUUGGGGGGAAUGGUGCUUUACAGUGUUAGUUAGUACUAAAUUCAAAAAUUUUGAGCAUGACUUGUGUAAUUGAGGGAUAUUGAUCUUUUGAGGACUAUAUUGCUUAAAAUUUAAAAAUUACUUGACUUGAGAGUCCAAUACUCCUUGUAUACCUUGUGGAUGCCAUUUAUGAGUAAAUUUUUCAAAAGAUUGAUAUCUUGCUUGCACUUGUGGUCCACAUCAUUUUGAUUUUGUGAUUACUUUGAGAUUCAUUCUAGGAUUCUACACUAACACAGGCGCACACUGGCAUUCAUUUAUGGGGUACAUGCUUUGUUGAUUAUUGAAUUAGUUAUAUCCCAAUUCGGCUAGUAGUGCAUUGAAAGUUUUCAUUCUUAAUAAAGGUAGAUAACAACCCCUUUUCACUAAGUAGCCGGGAUUCUAGCCUCAUCAAGCACUGAACUUCUCGCGCUGAAAGGUGGAGGGCCCAAACUCUAGGUUAAUAAUUUAAUUAAAAAAAAAAGUUGCAAAAGCAAUAAAAAAAUGAGGGCUUCUUCCAAAAGGUGAGAAGUGGGAAAUGAUUAGAUGGAGGUUGUCUUAAUUUGUAGCCUAGUUGAUUUGAGCUUGUAAGUCCGUAAGGGUAUUUGAACGCCUAAUGCCCUAAAGCCGUCUGGUUUGGGAGUCAUUGACCUAACGCUCGACCUCAUGAAUCGCUGGAAAGCUUAAUAGAUCAACACAUUGCACCAUGUUUCUAUCUUUGAUCCUAUAAAAAUAAAAAAUAAAAUAU